ensembl:antisense Gm29015 predicted gene 29015
GAGAUGCUGCUCUGGAGUGGGUAGGCAGGGGAGGGGACUCACAUCUGUGAUAGCCUUCUUGGCCUUCUCCUCUGCGUUCCUACACUCCUGCACUGCCUCCUCUACUUCUGUCUGGAGCUGGGAUAGGAAUGUACAGGGUACCCCCUCACCUGCGAGUGCAGCAGCUGCACCCGCUCACUGGUCUCAAUCAGCUCCUGCUCUGCCAGC